CAGCCGUAAACUAUGCUCGCUAGGUGUCAGGCAUGGCGCGACCGUGUCUGGUGCCGCAGGGAAGCCGUGAAGCGAGCCACCUGGGAAGUACGGCCGCAAGGCUGAAACUUAAAGGAAUUGGCGGGGGAGCACAACAACGGGUGGAGCCUGCGGUUUAAUUGGACUCAACGCCGGACAACUCACCGGGGACGACAGCAAUAUGUAGGCCAGGCUGAAGACUUGCCUGAAUCGCUGAGAGGAGGUGCAUGGCGUAGACGUCU
rnacentral:rRNA from 1 species